ensembl:lncRNA
UUGUUGUUUUUUAAGGUGGAGAUGUGAUCCUGGAGAUUCCUGCUUUUCCUUUUAUGGAGGGAGACAAUAUCGCUUUGGGCUGCAGAAAAAAAAUACAAUCUUCCAAUCUUCCAGCUGAUUUUUAUAAAGAUGGCCACUACUUGGAAACUGGAUAUGUAGGGAAGAUAACCAUUCUCAAUGUUUCCAAGUCUAAUGAAGGACUGUACAAGUGCAUCUUUACUGAAUCUCAAGGGGAAUCACCAGAGAGCCGGAUGGUUGUGAGAGCACAUGUUGCUCCCACACCUCAGAAGACAAUACCUCAAGAUGAUGAAGAGACUGAACAGGAGAGCUCUCCAUCCAGGUCCACUGGACUCUCCAUCUUAUUGCCAGCUAUGUUGAUCAUUUUGGCUGUGGAUGUGAUAAUAGUGGCGGGACUACAUUACUGCCAGAAACACACAGUAGCAAGCUCUUCUGCUGUCAUGUCAGUAACAGGUUAAGUACACUUUAGAGGUUACAAGGAAGGCCCAGCAGCAUCUCCACUUUCUACUCAGAAGCCUCAACUUGAAGCAGAAGCCCUUGACCGUCUUCUACCAGUACUUGACCUUUUUGCACCGAUAUAUUUCUCUUUUUAAUCUCUGAACGUAAUGCACAUUUCAUUACUGUAUAUUGUUGUAUAUUUUAUUCUGUACAUAUGUUAUUUAUUAGGACUACUGCUUGCCCCAUUUUGUGUAUGGUGACCCUGAAUGGCCAAAUGGACUGC